AACGAACGCUGGCGGCAUGCCUAACACAUGCAAGUCGAGCGCCUGUAGCAAUACAGGAGCGGCGCACGGGUGAGUAACGCGUGGGAACCUACCCUUAGGUUCGGAACAACCGCGGGAAACUGCGGCUGAUACCGGAUGAUGUCUUCGGACCAAAGAUUUAUCGCCUUUGGAGGGGCCCGCGUCGGAUUAGGUAGUUGGUGAGGUAACGGCUCACCAAGCCUACGAUCCGUAGCUGGCUGAGAGGAUGACCAGCCACACUGGGACUGAGACACGGCCCAGACUCCUACGGGAGGCAGCAGUGGGGAGUAUUGGACAAUGGGGGCAACCCUGAUCCAGCAAUGCCGCGUGGGUGAUGAAGG
rnacentral:rRNA from 1 species